rnacentral:lncRNA from 1 species
AUGGCAUCGAAAUUGGAAUGAACGAUACGGAAAUAGGACAUGAAAGAGCAAGCAUGCUUAUCGGGGAAUGACAACAUAUCCGAUUGGAAUGUUCAUUUGAGGAAGAGGUUGAUUAUCGGUUCCCAAAAUUUUUGGCUAAAACAGAUAUGAGAAAUCCUUAGUUUGACGUUGGCCAACUGUUUUGGUCAAUGCAAGAUUUUAGAAUUGUAGUGAGAGCAUAUGGUGCUACGAACGGGUAUAAUGUAAAGUUCAAUGGCAACACCGUAUAAUCAACGAAUGUAGCAGAAUACAAACAUUGGACGAAAAUAAUUAGUGAAGUGAAGCUGCACAUAAUUGGUUGACAAAGAGGUACCCUUGGGAGUGAGUCAAUCUCAUUGUACCCUCAGCAUUUUGCGUUUGAGCUGCAACUGUGGAAACAACUUUUUGCUUACGACUGGAAAUUAGCAUUUGGGUUUAGCAAUGUUCAGGUUUCAUGUUUUGUACCCAAAAUUUAUCAAUUUUUGCAUUUGGAGUAAUCUGCCCAUUGAAAUGUAUAACCUGCUCGUGUUUUUUGAGUACACAAGUUUCCAUUUAUAUCAUACUUUUAUAUGAAGCACACAUACA